ACAAGGAUGAACUCUGAUAUUCUGACUCUGUCGUGGAGAUCAGCAUUAGUUGUCCUCUAAGAAGUUCUGAGUGG
rnacentral:snoRNA from 1 species